rnacentral:rRNA from 1 species
UUGNANUGGGGGCACCCUGAUCCAGCCAUGCCGCGUGCGGGAAGAAGGCCUUCGGGUUGUAAACCGCUUUUGUCAGGGAAGAAAUCCCUUGGGUUAAUACCUCGGGGGGAUGACGGUACCUGAAGAAUAAGCACCGGCUAACUACGUGCCAGCAGCCGCGGUAAUACGUAGGGUGCAAGCGUUAAUCGGAAUUACUGGGCGUAAAGCGUGCGCAGGCGGUUGUGCAAGACAGAUGUGAAAUCCCCGGGCUCAACCUGGGAACUGCAUUUGUGACUGCACGGCUGGAGUGCGGCAGAGGGGGAUGGAAUUCCGCGUGUAGCAGUGAAAUGCGUAGAUAUGCGGAGGAACACCGAUGGCGAAGGCAAUCCCCUGGGCCUGCACUGACGCUCAUGCACGAAAGCGUGGGGAGCAAACAGGAUUAGAUACCCUGGUAGUCCACGCCCUAAACGAUGUCAACUGGUUGUUGGGAGGGUUUCUUCUCAGUAACGUAGCUAACGCGUGAAGUUGACCGCCUGGGGAGUACGGCCGCAAGGUUGAAACUCAAAAGAAUUGACGGA